rnacentral:rRNA from 1 species
AGCAGUAGCCGCGGUAAUACGGAGGGUGCAAGCGUUAAUCGGAAUUACUGGGCGUAGAGCGUGCGUAGGCGGUUCGUUAAGUCUGUUGUGAAAGCCCCGGGCUCAACCUGGGAAUUGCAGUGGAUACUGGGUCACUAGAGUGUGGUAGAGGAUAGUGGAAUUUCCGGUGUAGCAGUGAAAUGCGUAGAUAUGUGGAGGAAUACCGAUGGCGAAGGCAGCCCCCUGGGAUAACACUGACGCUCAUGCACGAAAGCGUGGGGAGCAAACAGGAUUAGAUACCCCCGUAGUCCCUGUCUCUUAUAC